GAUGAACGCUGGCGGCGUGCCUAAUACAUGCAAGUCGAGCGAACAGACGAGGAGCUUGCUCCUCUGACGUUAGCGGCGGACGGGUGAGUAACACGUGGAUAACCUACCUAUAAGACUGGGAUAACUUCGGGAAACCGGAGCUAAUACCGGAUAAUAUAUUGAACCGCAUGGUUCAAUAGUGAAAGACGGUUUUGCUGUCACUUAUAGAUGGAUCCGCGCCGCAUUAGCUAGUUGGUAAGGUAACGGCUUACCAAGGCAACGAUGCGUAGCCGACCUGAGAGGGUGAUCGGCCACACUGGAACUGAGACACGGUCCAGCCUCCUACGGGAGGCAGCAGUAGGGAAUCUUCCGCAAUGGGCGAAAGCCUGACGGAGCAACGCCGCGUGAGUGAUGAAGGUCUUCGGAUCGUAAAACUCUGUUAUUAGGGAAGACCAAAUGUGUAAGUAACUAUGCACGUCUUGACGGUACCUAAUCAGAAAGCCACGGCUAACUACGUG
rnacentral:rRNA from 1 species